rnacentral:ncRNA from 2 species
UUAUAUUUUUACCGGAUGGGUGCCUUUGCGGGGCGUAAAAGGGAAUCAGGUGGGAAUCCUGAGCGGUCGCGCCACUGUAACCGGGGAGCUUUCCUUUUUGAGGGAAGCCACUGGGUAGUUUUACCUGGGAAGGCUAAGGAAAGCGGUGAGCCGGAAGCCAGGAAACCUGCCCGUCCGGAUGUGCCGCU